rnacentral:lncRNA from 1 species
GAAUGAUGAAUUCUCUUCAGUAGCAUUGGUUUUUGUUGUUGUUGUUGUUGUUGUUGUUUUCCUUUGCUUUGCUGAGAUAGUUAGAGGCCUAGAGAGCAUUUCUUUAACAGACAUCCUUAUGUAUCAUGAGCAUCAAAUACCAUUUCCUGAGAAAGUCAUCAAACUUACACCUGAUUAUGUGUCUUCCCAGUCCACUGCAGAGAUCUCAGACUGACUCAAUAGCUCCCACCAUCCUUUAAAAGCCAGCACAGAAGUGAUUCUCAGUUACUUCCACACCUCUCAUGGCAGUAACGAUGUACAGACCAGGCUGUAAAGCACUGUGAAUGAGGUGGGUCCACAGCAGUUAUAAAAUUGCCCUGUGAGCUGGUUCUGCACUGGGGGGUCAUUAAGGUUCCCAUUUCAAGAACAUCCCUCGCCCUCUGGCCACAUCGGGAUAAACACAGCAUUCUCCAUGGGCUCUAUCUCUCUGCCCAGCUGUGACUUAAAGAGUUUAUUUCUAGGUACUCCAGGCAUUUCAUUGCAGCCCACUUCCACCUCCACCCUCAGCUGACAACCGGAGACACUCAGUAAUUAUCAGCAGUCUUCACUUGCAAUGAUUCUCUACCACACUAAAUACAAAUACGGAUAGUGUGGGCACAAAAUCCUCUGUAAAUUCUGAUACUGGGAAACUAAGUAGUUCUGUAGAAAAUGGUUGGAUUAAGAGAUUUUUUCAAGAAUUGAGGCCAUAGUGUUGAAUAACUUUUGGGGGUAACCUAUGCAUAAAUCCUGGGACUGUUCAUUUUGAGAGACAUUACAAACCUUAGCUGCUGACUUGUCUUAGUUAGGGUUUCUAUUGCUGUAAAGAGACACCAUGACCACAGCAACUCUUCUAAAGGAAAACAUUUAAUUGGGGCUGGCUUCCAGAUUCAGAGGCUUAGUCCAUAUUGUUACAGUGAGAAGCAUGGCAGCAUGCAGGCAGACAUGGUGCUGGAGAGGUGUCUGAGAGUUCUACAUCUUGAUUCACAGGAAGCAGGAAGAGACUAUGAGCCACAGUGUAACUUGAGUAUAUGGGACCUCAAAAACUGUCCCACAGUGACACACUUCUUCCAACAAGGCCACACCUACAUCAAUAAGGCCAUACUCCCUAAUACUGCCACUCCCUAUGGGCCAAGUAUUCAAACAUAUGAAUCUACAUGGCCAUUCCUAUCGAAACCACCAUAUUCCACUUUCUGGCACCCCUAGGCUUGUAGCCAUACCAUAAUACGGAAAUGCAUUCAGUCUAACUUCACAAGUCUGCACAGUCUAUAAUUGUCUCAAAUUUGCUUAAAAUUCCAAAGUUCAAAGUCUCUUCUGAGACUCGUGCAAUCUCUUAACUGUAAUCCCCUGCAAAACAAUGAAGAAGCAGAUCACAUACUUCCAACAUUUAAUGGCACAGGAUAUACAUUAUUGUUCCAAAAUGGAGAAAAGGGAGCAUAGUGAAAUAUUGGCCACAACACACACUAUCCACACAGACACUCUGCAACCCAGACAGGUACAGGUAGCAUCAUGAACACCCCAAGGUAUUCUUUCUCCAGAGAGAAGGAACAAGAAGAACCACUGGAAAAGCAGCAGAUCUGGAGAGGAAGAAAGUGUCAGGUUGCUAGGAACCUGGCCUAUCUGGCUGAUGGAUAUGGAAUCUUCUUAUGAUGGGAAAGGCCAGGUUAAAUAUCCCUUUCUGGGGAUAUUCUUCAGGCAGUAGGCUAGAAGAAAAACAAAAUUAACCAAGAUUUCUUGAAUACAGCAGUAUGUUUUAUGAAGCAGUUGUCCUUGUUUGUAGGUGAAGCAAAGCCUUGAUGUUUGCAGGCACCCUGUGAUCCAGGUAGUAUUUACUCUUAGCUGGAAGCAACAAUAUACUAAAGGCAGAAUCAGCCAUUGUGUGCUGAGAGCAUGGGCACAGUCCUUCAAGAAGCGGGAAAGUGGGGAGCAUCGAGUGACCAAACCAAUGGUAGACAGGACAUGGAGCCCAGUUCUGAACACAUUGGAUGAUUGGGACCACUUCCUGGUUGGCCUUUGCUACACAGAGUAGCAGGAGUUGAUUAUAUUGGUUACAUUUUUCAUUGUUACGACAAAAAUACCUGACUAAAACAAUUUAAAGAAAAGAUGAGUUUAAUUAAGUUUUCAGUUUGAGUAGAGAUAUAGUCCAUCAUUGCAGGGAAGUCAUGAUGGCAGGACCACGAGGGGACUAGUCACACAGUGUCUACUGUUAGGAAACAAAGUGAUGACUUCUGGUCACCAACUGAUUUCCCUAUUUUCCCCCAUUAUAUUCAGUCUAGAACCUCAGCCCAUGGCAUGGUGGCACCCACAUUUAGCAUGGACCUUCCCUCUUAAGAUAGUUCAGUCUUGCCAGGCAUUGGUGGCACACGCCUUUAAUCCCAGCACUUGGGAGGCAGAGGCAGGCGGAUCUCUCUGAGUUUGAGACCAGCUUGGUCUACAAGAGCUAGUUCCAGGGCAGCCUCCAAAGCCACAGAGAAACCCUGUCUCGAAAAACAAAAAACAAAACAAAACAAAACAAAAACAAAAAAGAUAGUUCAAUCUUUCUGGAAACACUGCAUCUAUAUGGCCCCAACACUUGUUUUCAGAGUGAUUCUAAUCACUGGAGACCUUGCUUUACUAAAUAUUUUCAGCACCAGACAGGGUGCAGUGGGGCAGGGCCUCCUCACUCACCCAUGUCCGAGGUGUCAUUUUGGAAGGUUGAUGGCUGGGUGUUAGAAUCAUGUGGCAACAUUUUCAAACACAAGUCUGGUGAUGGGAGAAGACCUUUAUGUUUCUCUUAUUGGUUGAUGAAUAAAACACUGUUGGCCAAUAAGGCAUGAAAAUAGGUGGAACUAGGAGGACGAGAAUUCUGGGAAAGUCAAGCAGAGUGAGCCCGCUACACAGUCUCGAUGCUGCUGAAGAAGUAACACCAUGCCGGGCAUUACCGGGUAAGCCACAGCCUCGUAGUAAUACAUAGAUUGAUAGAAAUGGGUUAAUAAUUAAGACAGAGGUAGCCAAUAAGAAGCCCAAGCCACUGGCCAACAGUUUCAUAAUUAAUAUAGCAUCUGUGUGUUUAUUUGGGGGAUCACGAGGCUGUGGGACCAGGCUGACAGGAAGAACCAUCCAAAUAGCUUUUAUUUGAAGUCUGAGCCUAUCCAUGUGGUCUACCCAUGUGUCAAUCCCAGGCCAUGGAAUGAUUUCAGUGGAAGAUUAGGCUCCAAGAAGCCAGUCCAGUCUCUAUGCUCAUUCAACCUGGAGCUGAGUUUUACUUCCAUCAUUUGGAGUAGUCUGUCUGGGAAACUGUGUUCACCUGGCUCAACUUCCUUGACCUUAAGAUCCUUCCGUUUUAAAUCCAGACUUCAGUUUAUUGAGGUGUCACUUAGAGUCACUCCUUGUAAGUGGUAGAUUUUGACGAACAUACCCAUCAACACAGCGUAACUACAGCCCUUGCAUUUUCUGCUCAGAAUAACGUUUUCCCAUUCCUAUUAUUUUGAAGUUUCCAGAUCCUCAUUUAUGAAACAAGGCUGACUUUUUUCAUACUCCUGAGUACAGCCAACAUGUUAAAAUGUAAGGUUUUAAUUGUGAUAAAAUUCACAACUUUCUUCUUUUACGAAUUAUACAUUUGGUGUCUUUUCUACAAAAUCUUUUGUUAGACAAAAGAUCACAAAUUCUUUCUCUUAAGUUCUUUUUCAGAUUUUUCUUUGCUUUAAUUUUAUUUUGAAACUCAUUUGUGUGAGUGUACCUGUCACAGUGUGUGUGGAGGUCAGAGACAACUUUCAUGAGUUGUGUUACCCACACCAGCCUAUAAAUUUGUUGAAGUGAAUUGAAUCUCUCAGAAUACAUGGGUGUAUUAAAGCCACAUCAAGAAACCCAGGUCCCGAUAUGUAGUUGACACAAUGCACCAAGGGAAGGGUGUAACUCCCUCACCUGCACCCAGGAAGAAAUGCACCGCUAGUACUACGAUGGCAGCUGCCCCCAGUGACGGAUCAUCUGACCUCCUGGGUGUGAGUCGAGGGAUCAACAGGCAGAGAAUUCCCAGCAGUCACAAGGGCUUCCACAUGACUUUGUUCCGAAAGUUGAUGUGGUCUGUCCACUGCUUUGUCCAUCCUCCUGCUUAUCUGUGUGGACCUGUCUGGACUCAUUUGUCUCUAGACCCAGCCUCACCUUUCACUUCCCCAAUAGGAUUCAACUUCACAGCUCAACCAGCAGUCCGUAUGUGACUCUAAGGUAGCUAUGACUGUUUCUCCAGCUGCUGCGGUCAGCUAUCUCACCCAUCUGGCCCUAUCUGCAUGUCUAUCACUUUCCCUGUUUCUUGGGACUUCAGAAACCUCUUAAACUCUGCUGCAGUCUCAGAACUCUUUGUAGUCAGUCACUUUGUCACUAUAUAUAUAUAUAUAUAUAUAUAUAUAUAUAUAUAUAUUGUGAAAUAUGUAAUGUGUGACCUGAGAGUUAAUAUUAGUAAUUAAGUUUUCAUUAUUGUUAGUUUUAGACAAGUUAAUAUACUCUUAUACAUACCUGGGAAGAGAGAAUCACAAAUGAGUAAUUGUCUCUGUCAGAUUGGCCUGUGGGUAUGCCUGUGUGGCAUUUUCUUGAUUGCUGCUUGGUGUAGAGGGGCCCAGACCUACCAUGGGGCAGUGCCAAACCUGGGCAGGUGGUCUUGGGUUCUAUGAGAAAACAAGCUGAGCAAGCCACAAAUAAGCAAACUAAUAAACAAAUUUCCUGCAGGGCCUCUGCUUCAGUUUCUGCCAUUGUGUCCCUGCCUUGAGUUCCUGCCCUGACUUCCCUCAGUGUAGACUGUGAUGGGAAAAUAAUGUGUAAUGAUAUGUAAGGUGAAUAAACCUUUUCCUCCCCAAAUUGCUUUUUAGUCAAGAUGUUUUAUCACAGCAGAAGAAAACAGGACAGAUUGAAAUUCUAAACACCCUGUUUGCCUCGACAUAUUGUCAAGGAAAAACAGACCAUGUGGCAAAUUGCUGUCAAAAAAAAAAUCAUCGACCCUUGCAAAUUUGUUAUGCAAUAAAUUCUGACACUGUGGGAUGACACGAACAUGUUCAUCUGUGUUUCUGGCAUAGUAGUUGCAUGACCUUCAGUGCACAUAUUUAUUUCAAAAUCUGACAAAAUGGCAAUUAUGUGCCCAAAGAACUGUGUGUUAGCCAUUCCCCAGGGACACUGUCACUGCAGCAUGGGAGAGUCCUGUGAGUGAACAGCCCCCUUCAGAGUUACAAGGUUAGUGAUGCUGCUUCUACUAGGGGCUAUUUUCAGCUGCUCAGUAUCUGGCCAGCAGAACCCAAAGCCCCUGAGCACGGAUGCAGUCUUUUGAGUAGCCUCCACUGAAUAAGUGUUUGUGGAAUGGAUGAGUGGAGGUCCCACAGGGCCAUGCAUUUAUCAUUGUGCUCAGAAUCUUGCACUAGCUCAUUCCUUAUCCUGCCUUUGCAGACACUGUUUCAAUGGGGAAAAUAAGCCUUCAGCCAGGAGGCACCAUUAUCUCCCUUGCUUCAUCCAACCUCUGCUGUGAAAGGCACAGAGCUAAGAAGAAGCAUGCAGCAUCUUUCUGCACAGGAUUUGGGCCCUUUCAGUGUUGUGUUGUUGAAGUGUCUGCAUGCCAGAUAAUGUGGUUAGUCAAUGAGCUUCUAGACACAUCUAUGGUGUCCUUCAGGCUUAAGGGAAGCAGUUGAAGGUUGCUUACCAAAAUUACUCAUACAUUCUGAUACUUAAUACCCAAAUGAAACUCUGGCAGGUACCUGCUCCUGUUUAUUGUGAGAAUCCAUUGGCCCCCUGAACACACCUGAGCUUUGGCAUUCUCUAGCUACCCCGCUAUUUAUUCUUAGAAGUUAUCUGGAGGCUGGAAUGGAGUCAUGACAGAAUAUGGUCCAAUACAAGAGGCAGCCUGUAUUGUUUGCACAAGGAAGAGCAUCGUUAUUUCAAGGCAUCAGAAUACUUAUAGUCCACAGCACCUCAAUGUGCCAGCCUGUGAGGAGGCCAGGUCUCUUCUGGACAGUUGGCCACAGUCUCUGGACUCUGGGAAAAUGUAGAGAAUGACAUCUUUCUCUGUGCCUGACCCAUGAUUCAACUGUAAUCUUAGGGCAGGUACCUUAGCCUAUGUAGCGCCAACAAGGCAGACUCAACCACCUCUUGAAUAUACUAGUUUAAAAAGGAAGUAAUGAUGAAAACCAGAGAGUGGAGAAUCAGUCAGUGGGGCCAACUGAGAAGAACAGAUGAAGGAGCCCAGAGACUAAGUUUAUCUUUGGGGUACAGACACGAGCUUAGGCUUAAACAUAGAAAGAACUGGAGUAUACAUUAGUCAUCCUGGACAAAGCGUGGUUCUAUUCAUCAGUAUCUCAGCCACCAUCUUGCAAGCUUGAGUGUUCAUGUCUGUCAUCCUCUGAGAGUGAUGCUUGUGUAGAGCUCAUCAUCUUCAUCACAGAUCACUGCUCUCAUCCUAGGGGUCUAUCCUGACCUUCCUCACGUAGAGGUGGCUUCAGUCCUUUGUCACAAAGAUGUUGAUUGACCUAUCCUUCUGUUCUUGGAACCCGAGCUGUCUCAAGAGCUGCAAGCCUACAGUUUUCCAGGAAUUUCACCCAGAAAUCCCAUGUACAGCCACGAACCCUGAACUGGCCUGAAUCGAGGUCCCUAAAGGAUGAAGAAAACUCAUCAGGCUGUCAAGAGUGACUUUGGGGUAACCUGAAUCCAUCUUUGAGGUACCCUAAUCAAGAUGAUCCUCCAUAAGCGUGCCCAGAGGUCCAUCACCCAAGUGAGGCUACAUUUCAUCAGGUGACAGCUGAGAUUCAGUUGACAGUGAGUGUGGCUGCUGGGACACACAUCUAUGUAUUCUAUGAGGGCCUCUCCAGGAAGCUCUAGUAGGAGGAAGACCACCCCUGAAUGUGAUGGUGCCACAUGGGAUCGCAAACUGAAUAAAAAGAAGAGAGCCGAGCAGCAACCAGCGUUCACCGCUCUCUGCUUCCUCACAGUGGAGGCCAUAUGACUGGGUGCCUCCUGCUACUGUGUCUUGCUCUCCAGGAUGGACUCUACCCUCAGCCUGAGAGCCAGAGUAAACCUUCCUUCUGUAAGCGGCUUCUGCUAGGCAUUUUGUCAAGCAAAAAGAAAGUAACAGACAUUACAAAGUAACAGAGCAUUGGGACAUUGUGUACACAGAGUGUCAAGUGGGUGUCUACAGAAAGUUCUCCAGUAGCCUGGAGGAUUCUGUGGAAGGUUCCAAAAGCACAGGCACCCUGCUUUUGGAACUCAGUGAAUUGCUACCUACACCAAGUCAUGGCUUAACUGUUCUAAUUUUCAUGCCCCACAGAAAACAGGGGGACAUUUGUGGGUUUUCUGACACUUGUUCAAUUAAUAGGGGGCAAAGUUGGUUUCUACUAACCUAAGAACAUAAGCCAAUUGUAAGUACCAAAACUGAUCAACUGACUGACACCUCUUUUUAAUACAAAGGGGACUCUCCAGAAGAUAUCUGUCCUCUUGCCUGAGCUGGAGAGAUGUCUCUCUGCACUUUAAACACUUGCUGCCCUUCCAGGGGACCCAAAUUUGGUUCCCAGCACCCAGGUUGGGUGCUGGAUAUGACACCUUCCUCUGGCCUCUGGGCAGGUAAUACCAUAGUUGUGGCACAGACACAAAUAAAAAUAAAAAUAAAAAUCUUACAAAGGAGAUCCUUCUGCUUGAGCCUACCUGGAGCCAAGUUACAGCCAUGCAGCACUGCACCUGGUUUAAUAAUUGGAAAAAACAAUGGUAGUUAGUUUUUAUUUUUGACAUGUUUUCCAUCCUUAAAGUUGGGUAGAAGAUGGCAGUAUCAGCUCAUAAUUGCUGCAAAUUUAACAUAUUGAAUUUUUGUUUGUCAAUUCAUAAUUCACUCAAUGUUUCCUUUGGUUCAGACUUCAAGUCUCCACAAAGAGUCUUCAUUAAAUCUUUGUCACUGCAUUCAUUUUUCCAUGUGACCUACCACUGUGCAUGGCAUGGCAGCCUUCAAGCUGAUUUUCUGUCUCCUUAAUGUGAAUGUGAAAUAUUAAACCUUAUCCAGAAAUACACAGCAAAGAUUGCAAGUUAUAUACAGAGCUGACAUCUGCUAAUCAAAUAAAUUUGUGAUGGAGAGGGAUAUUUAGCUCUUUUAUUGUUGUUUUUUGCAUGUAUAGAUGUAAUAGUAUUUGAAGUCAAACAGAACAAAUUCCAGUUUGUUCAUUUGCACAGCAACUUGCAAUUUGGCUCAGCUGGUUUUACUACUGCUUCUCUCACAAGACAGCGUUUAAGUGCAAAUGUUUUUUGGGAAGUUCAGGUGCAGAUAGGAGGAAGUAAAGAAUGAUGGGAGGUGGGAAAUUUUGUGGAGGGUGGGCUCUGGGAAAUAGAAUAGAACAUUCAUCCCAGAAUGAUCCCACCAUAAGAGGGUAAGAAGCUAAAGCAUUUACACCUCACUACCCCAGGGUAACUGGCUAUGGAAAUUGAGCCCCUCUCCACUUUGGGCUUUCCAUGUAGUGAGGCAGAAAGGGAACCAGAAACCACAGGCUGCCAGCUAAAGGUUAGUUAGCUAGAGGGCAUGGAAAAGUACAAUCUGAGGGGCAGGGCACAGACAGUUAUGGUGCCUGCACCCUGAAGAUGUUGUCCCUGUAAGGUAUCUAGAGCCUAGGUUGUGACCUUGAGAGCAGGGAUGUGUGCUGCACUUCCCAGGGCUGCACCACUUGUUUCCAGAGUCUCUCAGACCCUCAUUUCCACUCCCAACUUGGUCAGUACCAGAAGUUGUUGCUGAACAGCAGUGCAUGGAGCAGCUAAGUCAUUAGAAAUGAUGCAGGUUAAACAUACAUAGAUAUGUGUUCUAGUUUCCUUCUGUUGCUGUGAUAAAACACUCCAUCAAAAAGCAACUUGGGGAUGAAAGGGUUUAUUUAACUUAUACUUCCAGAUCAUAGUCCAUCACUGAGGGAAGUCAGGACAGGGCCUCAAGCAGAAACUUGAAAUGGAGACCAUGGAUGGAUGCUGCUUGCUGGCUCACUCUCAGACCCAUGCUUAGCUAGCUUUCUUGUAUGGCUUGGGACCACCUGACAAGGACUGGUGCCACCCACAAUGGUCUGGGUCUUCUUAUACCAAAUAACAAUCAAGACAACCUCCCACAGAAAUGCCCACUGGCCAGUCUAAUCUGGGCAAGCACUCAGUUAAGAGUCACUUCUCAAUUAGAGAAAAGACUGUGUCAAAUUAACACGAAGCUAUUUAGAACAAUGGCAUAGUUUAAAGAAUGAAGAGGCCUCCCUAGGUCACCUAUGACUUGUGGGGGCUCCUUUGGGGCCCCAGAUCCGAUCUCUGCUCUGGCUCCCACGGCUGCAUAUCUAGUUGCCACAAAAUCUUUAUCCUAUUUCUCAGCCAUUUAUCAGUCCUGAUAUUAUUACAUUGGGAAAUGGUCGACCAGAUGGACUGAACUAUAAGUUAUCAAGUUGAAAUAUAUGCUUUAAAUAUCUAUUUUUCUAUUUCCUGGGUUUCAUUAAUGGAAAUCAACAAGCAAUUAAGCAAAAGUUCAGCCAGAAAAAUCUGUGGCAAAUUGUAAUAAGAUGUAGUUCCAGCAAUCAGAGACUCUGAACUUAAUUAACACUCUGCUAUUCUGAAUUUUUGUAAUAUGGAUUUAGAUGCCUUUUUAUAACUCCAAUUUUAUAUUGGGAUGGAUUUUCUAUUAAUAUGUAAGUCACUAGUAGUAUUAACCAAUGCAUGUAACCUACUGACCCUCAGCAAAUUAUUUGUUACAAUAAAAUACUAAUGUAAA